UACAUAGCUCAGUUGGUAGAGCAUAAGACUCUUAAUCUUAGGGUCACGGGUUCAAGCCCCAUGUUGCGCAA